GCCUCGGUAGCUCAACCCGGCAGAGCAGCUGACUUGUAAUCAGCAGGUUAUGGGUUCAACUCCCAUCCGAGGCU
rnacentral:tRNA from 1 species